UCCAUGGAGGGCUAGUGGUUAGGUCACAGCACUCUCACUGCUGCGGCCCAGGCUCGACUCCCAGUCAGGGAA
rnacentral:tRNA from 1 species